rnacentral:pre_miRNA from 1 species
GUCACCACCGCGGCGUGACGUAACAGAGUUGAGUUGGUGCAGACAUUAACUUAACUCUGUUACGUCACGCCGCGGUGGUGGC